GAAACUCCUCCCAACUGAAAUUCAUAGUCACCACACUAUGUCACCCCAGUAGUCAGACAGUCAGAAAGAGAAAAGGGAUAGUUCAGUCUGUGAUGUGAUGUGUGUUGUUGGGGAGUGCUUCAGUCGCUGAGUUAUUGGUUUGCUGGUGUCAGCAUAAACAAAUAAGUUAAAGAACCUUUGAAAGAGUCGAGAAGAAGAGAAAAGGUUGGGACAACCUAAAAGUAGAUAAUUCUGCAGUUUUUGUCUGGGUUGGUUAAACUUUCUUUAAACGGGUAAGGACUCUUUUUGCUUCUUCACCAUGACGCGCAGAUGGAAGCUUCUUAUACUGGCUCUGUCUUUCUUCCUCAUCAUGGUGCUGUCGGUAUCAGCAGCCUGCCCUCAAGGAUUUUCCAGAAAGAAAAACAAAGAAAAGAAAACAGAAUGCAUUGGUAUGAAAAUCUUUACAAAACAAAACAUCUGACACUUAAUCAGUAAUGGAAAAUGUGC
rnacentral:lncRNA from 1 species